UACGAAGGGGGCUAGCGUUGUUCGGAAUUACUAGGCGUAAAGCGCACGUAGGCGGAUAUUUAAGUCAGGGGUGAAAUCCCAGAGCUCAACUCUGGAACUGCCUUUGAUACUGGGUAUCUGGAGUAUGGAAGAGGUGAGUGGAAUUCCGAGUGUAGAGGCGAAAUUCGUAGAUAUUCGGAGGAACACCAGUGGCGAAGGCGGCUCACUGGUCCAUUACUGACGCUGAGGUGCGAAAGCGUGGGGAGCAAACAGG
rnacentral:rRNA from 1 species